rnacentral:rRNA from 1 species
CAAUAGCGUAUAUUAACGUUGUUGCAGUUAAAAAGCUCGUAGUUGGAUUUCUGGAGGGAGCGUCGGCCCGUAUUUACGAGUGCGUGACGUCUCUGUCCAUCCUUGCGGGAAGGCACGGCAUUGAUUUGUUGUGUCGGAUCGCAUCAUUUACUGUGAAAAAAUUAGAGUGUUCAAAGCAGGCUUUCGCUUGAAUACAUUAGCAUGGAAUAAUAAGAUAGGAAUUUGGUGCUAUUUUGUUGGUUGAGCCUAAAGUAAUGAUUAAUAGGGAUAGUUGGGGGCACCUGUAUUGCGUUGUCAGAGGUGAAAUUCUUGGAUUUACGCAAGACAAACAGCUGCGAAAGCGUCUGCCAAGGAUGUUUUCAUUA